rnacentral:misc_RNA from 1 species
AUGGCUACAAGGGAGGGCUGAAGUGGUACUGGAAGCAAAGGCCCUACCAGCGCGUCGACGGAUCCUUCUCCGGCCCUCGGCGCCGCCACAACAAGGCCGAGCUCGGCAACGGCCGCCGCCGCUUCUGGCGGUUCCGUAUCACCCCACGGCUGCGUCUCCUCCGCCGUCUAGCUUCUCCAAAGCGGAUACUGAGACGGAUCCGUGAUGCCUAUGUUAAUAUGAUGCUCAGUUUGACGGAGUCUACCAUGUUUGCUGGAGGUUACGGCUACGCCGGCGAGGGGAUCGCCGGGUUCGGGAGGCCGCAGCUGAAGGAGUACGAUGAGAAGAAACUGGUGGAGAUCUACAAAUCUAUCUUGGCUAAGGGUCAGCUGUUCGCCGCCACUGACGGCAGCGGCGCCGUUGCCAUUCCGAGGGUGGUGAUCCGACAGUAGGUUAUUUACUUUGUAUCUUUAUUACAUAUUUUAGCUUCUCAUUAAAUAUAAGUCGAUGAAAAUGACAUUGGCAGCGACUUGAAUUGAUGCGUUUGGGUCGAACGCUGUAGGCUAUAGUGCAUGUGGG